ACCCGGAGCGGAAUGGAGUCGUCGGGCGGGAACCGGGCCGUGAGGGAGUGACCGGCCGGAGGCAUCAAGGGAAGAGAGGAUAUGGCACUGAGUGCCGUGGGGAUGUUCGGACUGAGGUGGGACUUGGUCAGCUCAGAGGUCUUGUCCAGACGAAUUGAUCCUGUCAUUCGGUGGUGCCCCCCCGGGCUGUUCUGGGUGGUUCAGAUCUGUCCUGGGAAACUGUGAAUGCCUCAUCCUUGGAAGUGUUCCAGGCCAGGCUGGAUGGUGCUCUGAGGAACCUGGUCUAGUGAAAGGUGUCCCUGUCUGUGGCAGGGGGUGGAACGAGGUUAAGUGACGGUGGCCCAUCCACCGUGGUCGCAAAUCGGUAGAUUCGCACCAAAAGGAUAAGGAUCUUACAAGGACGCGAUAGAACAUGCCUUGCAGCGUGGGACGGCAAGAGACCCAGGCCCAAUCUCAAGCCCGGAACAACUGCACACAACCAGUGACGUGGCCCUGUACAGCACAAAUGCAUCCUUCGCCUGUCAUACGAUCCCCCAGAGGCCCAGUUUUGCCCAGGACACCACUGCUCCACACCCCUGGACUGGCACCAGCGCGGGAGCUUGACAUGUGGCAGUCCUGGGAUCACCGGUUAACUCCCAUCCUACCAACUUUAAUUGGAUUAAGCGGAUGGGUACAUGGAUGCCCUGCUGCACAGUUGUCUGUAAAGCAAGAGCCGCUGGGAUCAACUCCUUGCCCACAAACUGGCCCUGGCGUGAUACAGCAUCCCUGGUGGAACCACCCUAACCAACCCAGCGUCACCACCACCGUUGGGAGGAAGGGUUUGGGGUCGAUGGUAUGACCAAUGACUCUGACUGUGAAGAUGUAAUAUAAAUGAUAUCUAUGCUAUAUAAUUGCCCCAUGCAGGAUUUGUUCCCCCUCAGAUUUUUCCAGACCCAGAUUACCAUAUUUUAAAGAACAAUCCUUGCCAUCCUGAUGGCACUACCUGACUGAUGAGGAUGUCAUCUGCAAAUUGGAUUAGGGCUGAUUUUGUAUUUAUUUCCAAAUGACUAAGGAAAAUAUUGAUUACAUAUGCAUGUAGUACAGCACAUAUGAUCCUGGAGGGUCCUAUUAAAAAUAGCCUUCUUCAAUAGUGAUUUAUAACCACUCAAAAAAAAUAAUCUCUAACCAGUGUUUAAUGUAUUCUUCACUGAUGCUUUAUUACCCUGUUUAAUUAAAAUAUUGUGUAGUUCUAAGUAAAAAUGCUUCUAAAAGUUUAUUACAAGGGAGGAAAUCGAAUUAUUUGUUGUCUUUUAGAAGCAUGAAAUGAGAUUUCUAUUGGAUCUCUGACUGGCAUUACUAAUUCUUUAAUGAGUGACAUAACAACGUUUUUUGGUAUCUAUCCAGAACAUUAUCCAUAGAUCUGAUGUUACUAAAUCUACAUUUACUCCAUAUCAUGCAGCCUCCUUUCCCGAAGACAGGUACAAACCUGACACUUUUUUAGCCUCCUAAAAUUGCUCUAGUCUAUCAAGGUUCACUAAAGAGGAAUGUCAACACACAAGGGGUCUCUGCAGUCAGCUGUUUCCAACCUCCUGGGCCACAGUUAUCCCUGGAAGACAAUAGCUCCACUGGUCACUAAUGCACUGAAAUUAAUCACAUCACUGUCAAGUGACCCCCCCCCACAUGUAUCUUCCUGCUUCUUUACAAACAUAGAUCAUAAAUGUUCAAUGAACACUUCUGCAUUGUUAUUGACAUUUUAAUCAUGUCCAUCUAGUAAUGGGCCUGUACCAUUCAUUUCUAGGGUUUUCUGGGACUUAGCCUUGCCAGCUAUGGAUUUCCUUUGAUGUGCUUCACUUGCAAUAACUACUCUGCUUCUCACAGCUUCUCAUUUAUACCAACACUUUUUUAUUUCCUGCUUUCUUCAUUUUGGCUAUUUCUUUUUUAAUUUUAC